CUUUGCUUGUUAUAUAGUAUGAGCCACCAAGGUUUGCAAAGAGGAGUUGGGAUUCCCAAGAAACCUUGACGGUUUGAGGGCCAGCCACGCCAUGGCAGAAACUAGAGCUCAGAAAUAAUCGAGAGUUUUGCAGGUAUUGGUACGGGAAGUAUGUGCACGUGAACUCGUGAAGUGUUGUAAUCCUCUAUCAAGUAACAAACAACACAAAAGCUGAGCUAUCAUACUCAGUGGCUCACAGGAUAUCUUGAUGAACUGAGUUGUUGU